rnacentral:rRNA from 1 species
CACGUAGGGGCCAAGCGUUGUCCGGAUUUAUUGGGCGUAAAGAGCUCGUAGGCGGUCUGUCGCGUCUGCUGUGAAAACUCGGGGCUUAACCCCGGGCCUGCAGUGGGUACGGGCAGACUAGAGUGCGGUAGGGGAGACUGGAAUUCCUGGUGUAGCGGUGAAAUGCGCAGAUAUCAGGAGGAACACCGGUGGCGAAGGCGGGUCGCUGGGCCGUAACUGACGCUGAGGAGCGAAAGCAUGGGGAGCGAACAGG